CCAAGGUGCUCCCAUGCACACUCAGCUUGUCCUUGUACACAACCCAAAAUCUAAGAUGCAGUUUUUCCCCAUGUCAUACAAACCUGAAUGCAGUGUGUAUCAACCCUCUGACCUCCCACUGGUACCUGUGGAGGCUUUCCACAUUAAUUUUGAUAAAAAGAAUAGACACCUAAGUGAUUAAGGCCCAGAUUUUACGAGCCUUGAAUCCAGUGUAGUUCCCCAUGCCCUGUAGUGGCACUGCAUGAACCCCAGGAUCACAGGCUGUUUGACUGCCAGCCAAAUCCUCAUUAACCCGCUGAUUAUUCCAAUCACAUACUGAUCAACGUGUCCAAAAGGGUCAAAGAAAAUAAAGGUCAGGAGAGGGUGGUGACAGUGGUGCAGCAAUUUCAUCACUGCACCUGAUUCAAAAAUAUACCAACAGGUCAUAACUUUUAUUUCCAUGUCUAAAGCUUGGUGAAGUUUUGAAAUAGCUUGACGCAGCUUCCCUACAAGAAAAGCAAGAAAGGCUGCGGGAGGAUAGUCUUUGUGGAUAAAACCAACACUGAACUCCUCAGGUUUGAUUUUGCACAGAUGCUGGUACAAAACACAAGAGUUCAACUAAUCUAUCUGAAGGCAAUUCCUUACAACU